ACUUUUUUUUUUUUUUCAUUUUUAGGGCUGCACUUGUGGCAUAUGGAAGUUCCCAGGCUAGGCAUCAAAUCAGAGCUGUAGCUGCCAGCCUCACCACUGCCGCAGCAAUGCGGGAUCCAAGCUGUGCCUGCAACCUAUACCAUGGUUCAUGGGCAAUGCUGGAUCCUUAAUCCACUGAGCAAGGCCAGGGAUUGAACCCACAUCCUCAUGGAUACUAGUUGGGUUCUUAACCUGCUGAGCUACAACGGGAUCUCCUAAAAUUAUAAAACUCUUAGGAAAAAAGCACAGGAGAAAAUCUUUGGUAUCUAGGACUUGGCAAAACAUUCUGAAACUUGACACCAAAAGUAUGAUCUAUAUAAAACAAAAAUUUUGAUAAAUUGGGCUUCAUCAAAGCUAAAAUAUUACUCUGUAAAAGACCUUGGUAAGAGGAUGAAAGAAAAACUAGACUGAGAGGAAAUAUUUGCAAACCACAUAUUCAAAUAAAGCACUAGUAUCUACAAUAUGAAAAGAACUCUCAAAGCUCAAAAGUAAAAAAGCAAACAGCUCAUUUAGAAUAUCAGCAAAAUGUUGGAAAAGAGUCUGACGAAGAAUGGAUGUAUAUGUAUACUGAAUCACUUUGUUGUACAGCAGAAAUUAUCACAACAUUGUAAAUCAACUAUACUUCAAUAACACUUUAAAAUUGAAAAAAAAUCAGCAAAUACAUAAAAUUUUUUUUUACCAAAUAAUAUACAACUGUCAAAAGAAAAGUAAAUGAAAAGAUGUUGACAUCAUUAGCCAUUAGGGAAAUGCAGAUUGAAACUUCAAUACGAUACCACUACACAUCUAUUACAAUGACUAAAAUAAAAAAUAAUGACAACAUCAAAAGCUCACAAGGAUGCAGAAAAAUGAAUCACCCAUACACUGCUGGUGAGAAUACUAAGCGGUUCAUUAACUCUGGAAAAUAAUUUGACAAUUUCUUAAAAAAUGAAAUGUAUGGCUACUGUGCAACCACGUAAUCCAUCUCUUGAGUAUCCCAGAGAAAUGAAAAGCGUGUUCACAAAAAAAUAUAAUAAUAAUUUUACACGAAUGUUUAUUAGCAACUUCAUACACAACAGCUCCAAACUGGAAACAACCGUUCAACAGGUGAACGGUUAAACAAUGACAAUUUAUGCCAUGGAAUAUUACUCUGUAGUAAAAACAACAACCUUUUGGUACUCACAACAACCUGGAUGAGUUGCCAAAGAAUUAUGCUGAGUGGAAAAAAGCCAAUCUCAAAUGUUAUAUAUUAUAUGAUUCCACUGAAAUGACAUACUUACAGAUGUGGACUAUAAACCAGCGGCUGCCAGGAGUUAAGGAGAGGGGCAGGUAUCAGGAGGAAAACGGCUUUGUCUGUAAAAGAAAACUUGAGGGAUCCUUGUGCUCACAGAAAAGAUGGAAUGUUCUGCAUCUCGACUGUAUCAAUGUCAAUAUCCUGGUUGUGAUUUUGUACUGUGGCUUUGUAAGAUACCGAGUAAAGGGUAGUUCUAACAAAUGCCUGUGAGUCUACAAGUAUUUCAAAAUAAAAGGUUUAGUUGAAAGAAGUCAUAUUAAUCUCUUUUAUAAUGUUACUGUUUAUUCUAAGUGAGAUCAUCUUGGUUCCCUGAUAACUUUUAUUUUUAUUUAUUUAUUUAUUUAUUUUGUCUUUUUGCUAUGUCUUGGGCUGCUCCCGCGGCAUAUGGAGAUGGCAAAAAGACAAUAAUAAUAAUAAUAAUCUUUCUUCUGCUUGGAGAAGCUGAGAAGUUGUCACAUACAAUAAUGCAGCAGGAAAGUUUAUAAAAACCCAAAUUCCAACUUGGACCAGAGAUCAACUAAGUGGGAGCUUCUCUACUAUCUCUUGCUGGUUGUGUACGUGCUUCUCCCGUCUGGGUGCAGACCCUUAUAGGAGCUAAGUGAGCUGGAUGUAAACCAGAGCAUUUUUAGGACAUCAUCAACAGUAUACCUUCUUUUGAUUUAUGUUUCUAAGGCUCAAUUUAGGGAACCCGGGUUUGGUUUCUUUUGUUAUUGUUUAUUGUUAAUUUUUAUCUCUUGUUGCUUGGCUUUUAGUUUUUGACCUGUGUCCCUAUUAAAUGUUAAUAUCUCUUGUGAUAAUGAUAAGAGUGAAAAUACUAACUGGAUCCUAAGAGAUGUAAUGAUUAAUGACAAUCAAAUCAGUAGAAGUUCAUCUAUAUUGCAGCUAGCUGCUAGAUGGCUAAAUUAAGAUAUAAUUAGAUAGAUAUUUAUAGGUUAGACAUUAAUUGGUCCUUCAUUAAAUGUUCCAUAUUAUAUAGCUUAAUGAAGAUGAAUAAGACAUAAUUUCUUUUCUUUGAAGAGCUCACAGACCAGAAGACAGACACAUAAAAACAAUUACAACAGUGUAAUAAAAGCUUAACCGUGGUGUGGUCAUAGUGUUAUGGAAACAUACAGAAAGGAGAAACUGGCUCAACCUGUACGUGGUGGCUAGUUGGUAAGAGUCAGAAUCCUGUGCUUUUCAAAAGAAUCUGAGCUUGUUUCCCAGCUCCAAAGUGGUCUCUUCACUUAACUGUGAGAAAUUUAGGACACCAUACGGCUUAAAAAUUAGGAUCUGGCAUUUCUAGUGUAUGUGCUAUACUUUAACCUGCCUGAGGUCCAACUAUUUCCAGGUUCUUCUCUGAGGAUCAGUGGGUGAGGGAAAGAGCUCAGAAUUUGCAGCCAGACUCCCUGAAUUCAAGUCUCAGUUCUACUACUUAUUAAGUCGCUUAACCUCUCUAGACUUGACUCUCCCCAGUGGGAAUGGAAGAAAUAAUGAUACACUUAUCCUUCAAUAAUUAACGAAACAACCCAUGAACUUAGAUGGUAUAGCAUUUACUUCACUGCAUUCUUAUCCUAUUUCUUUCGAACAUUUAUAUAACCUUUAGCUGUGUAAUAAUAACACACUCAGUUGUCUAACAAUGGGGAUCCACAAUUGGUUUGAAUUUCCAUCCACUGUAUAAGAUAAAUUUUAAGUUCCUCAAAAUUCUUAUGCACCUUUUCAUGACUCCAUGCAAUGUUCUAAAACAUGCAUACCUACAUACAUAUUUGAUCAGAAGCAAAUAAAUUGAAAGUUGUAGUAGUUAGAAUCCUGGCAGGAAAUGGAUAGCAUACCACACUUGGGUAAUUUGAAGAGAGUUAAUGAAAGGGAUUAUUGACAGAUAUGUGGGGAAGGUGUAGGACAACCAUAGGGCAUAGUGUGGCACCCCAGGUUGAGUAAUGGCAGGAAACUGUUGCCAUGUUCAACCUGAAGGGCAAGGGGAGGGAGCAGUUAUGCAAAUUCAGAGGAGGCCACUUGAUAGGAGCUGUGAUCUGCGAUAGGCCCACAAGAACCUAGCAGAAAGUGAUCGAGGGGAAAGAUACUCUAAUCUCCCUCUCUUCUUUUUGUGAUAUUCUACCAGAUUCCUCCUACCAUUAGCCAAACCCAACAGAAAGCCAGACAUCAAGGGAAUCACUGAGGCCAUGCACACAGGUCAGCUUCCCGGAGCAGGGCUGAGAUGAGUAGAGAGUAGUUCUGGAAGGCAAGCAGUAAGAGCUAACAUGGAAGACUAUUUUAUGGUGAAAUUCUAUUGCAAUAACGAAACAAAAAACAUACUCAAGACUGGCUGACAACUUGUCCCUAACUGGCCUCUUAGACUGAAUUCAAACCUAGAGAAAGAUUUUCUUUUUUUUUUUUUUUUU
rnacentral:lncRNA from 1 species